rnacentral:tRNA from 2 species
CGUCGGUAUGAGGGGCGGUCACUGCGCUCGGACGUUCUAGUCGUUCGAGCGGGCGGUCGUGCCGACCGCGGCUCAGAUCUCCGUGCCGAUGGCC